GGGGAAUAUUGCGCAAUGGGGGAAACCCUGACGCAGCAACGCCGCGUGAUUGAAGAAGGCCUUCGGGUUGUAAAGAUCUUUAAUUCGGGACGAAAAAAAUGACGGUACCGAAAGAAUAAGCUCCGGCUAACUACGUGCCAGCAGCCGCGGUAAUACGUAGGGAGCAAGCGUUAUCCGGAUUUACUGGGUGUAAAGGGCGCGCAGGCGGGCUUGCAAGUUGGGAGUGAAAUCCCGGGGCUCAACCCCGGAACUGCUUUCAAAACUGUGAGUCUUGAGUGAUGGAGAGGCAGGCGGAAUUCCCAGUGUAGCGGUGAAAUGCGUAGAUAUUGGGAGGAACACCAGUGGCGAAGGCGGCCUGCUGGACAUUAACUGACGCUGAGGCGCGAAAGCGUGGGGAGCAAAC
rnacentral:rRNA from 1 species